rnacentral:tRNA from 1 species
GCCGGCGUGGCGGAAUGGCAUACGCGCUCGACUCAAAAUCGAGUGGGGUGACCCCCCAUGCGGGUUCGACUCCCGCCGCCGGCACCA